rnacentral:lncRNA from 1 species
AUGCCUUGGCAUCCUACCCACCUGACUCAAAAAACUGUGUCUUGCACUUUGGCAGGAGCCAGAGGAAUGCUUGGUUACAUGAGGACGGGUAUCCUCUCUCUGAUUUUGUGUCCAGCGUUUCCAGAGAACACAGGAAAAUGCUUCUGUCAGGCUCCAUGGAAUUGCAGAUGGAGGCUCCAGUCUACAAAGCAUCAGACCUCGUGGAUGGUUGAUCAGGAUUAUAUGCUCUGAUAUUAUGUUUCUACCAGCUGAGAAGCCCUACAUCAGCCUACCCCGUAUCUGCUGCCCGUUCGACAGCCGCAUAUCACCAAAUCUCAGCUGUCUGCAGAAGUGGGGUGAAGGUGGAGUAAACCUCCUGGAAACCCCUGAGCCCAAGCAGCAGGGGACGAGGAGAAGGGGGCCAGAGCCGUCUGAGAGAGUAGAGGCUUCCUGCUGUCAAAGGUAAUUGACAAUUCAAUGUGUCCAUAUUCAAUGUGCUGUUGAAUACCUGCAGCAGCCUCCUCU